GAUGAACGCUGGCGGCGUGCCUAAUACAUGCAAGUCGAGCGAACAGACGAGGAGCUUGCUCCUCUGACGUUAGCGGCGGACGGGUGAGUAAAACGUGGAUAACCUACCUAUAAGACUGGGAUAACUUCGGGAAACCGGAGCUAAUACCGGAUAAUAUAUUGAACCGCAUGGUUCAAUAGUGAAAGACGGUUUUGCUGUCACUUAUAGAUGGAUCCGCGCCGCAUUAGCUAGUUGGUAAGGUAACGGCUUACCAAGGCAACGAUGCGUAGCCGACCUGAGAGGGUGAUCGGCCACACUGGAACUGCGACACGGUCCAGACUCUUACGGGAGGCAGCAGUAGGGAAUCUUCCGCAAUGGGCGAAAGCCUGACGGAGCAACGCCGCGUGAGUGAUGAAGGUCUUCGGAUCGUAAAACUCUGUUAUUAGGGAAGAACAAAUGUGUAAGUAACUAUGCACGUCUUGACGGUACCUAAUCAGAAAGCCACGGCUAACUACGUG
rnacentral:rRNA from 1 species